CCAUUCACUGGUUCAAAGAUUUCAGGCUAAAAAACAUACAGUUCAGUCCAGAGGUUAACAAACUAUGGUCCAAAAAAAAAAAAAAAAAACUAUGGUCCACAAACAAAAUCCUGCUUACAGCUUUUGUUUAUAAAUAAAGUUUUAUUGGAACACAACCACACUCAUUCAUUUACACAUGGCCUAUGACUGCCUUCACAGCAUAAUGCUGAGUAGUUGUCACGGAGACUGUAUAGCCCACAAAGCCUGAAAUAUUUACUAUCUGGCUCUUUACAAAGCAAUGUGCUGACCAUUGUACUGGGAGGCUGGGAGGGCAAAGUCAUUUGGAAUUGGUUGGUUGGCUUUAUGUAUGUCAACAGAACAGAGAACUAUGUGACCAGAAAAAGGGACCAGGGUUGCUGUCUGAAGGGAAGAAAACUUUACUUCAUCAACAUUCAAAAUGGAUUCUCAGUGCUCUGCAAACCUCUGAUUGAAUAUGGGAAAUUUCCAAAGGGUUGUUCAGCCAACGCCAGACAUAUUUAUCUCUGGAAGAAGAGAGAGACUGUUGCCAAUAAGACACACAGCUGGAAGAAUAAAGGGAAAAUAAUUCAUGUUUGA
rnacentral:lncRNA from 12 species